rnacentral:rRNA from 1 species
CCUACGGGAGGCAGCAGUGGGGAAUAUUGGACAAUGGGGGGAACCCUGAUCCAGCGACGCCGCGUGAGUGAUGAAGUAUUUCGGUAUGUAAAGCUCUAUCAGCAGGGACGAAAAUGACGGUACGUGACUAAGCAGCCCCGGCUCACUACGUGCCAGCAGCCGCGGUAAUACGGAGGGGGCAAGCGUGAUCCGGAGUUACUGGGUGUUAAGGGGGCGUAGGCGGUACAACAAGUCUGAUGUGAAAGGUCGUGGCCAAACCCUGGAACUGCAUUUGAAACGUUUGAUCUGGAGUACAGGAGAGGGAAGCGGAAUUCCUGGGGUAUGGGUUAAAUGCGUAGAUAUUAGGGGGAAAACUAGUGGCGAAGGCGGCUUACUGGAAUGUAACUGCCGUUGAGGCUCGAAAGCGUGGGGAGCAAACAGGAUUAGAUACCCCUGUAGUC